rnacentral:RNase_P_RNA from 1 species
UGAGUCGGUCGGAUAGUCGCUGCAAAAGCAGAGGAAAGUCCGGACUCCAUCGGGUAGCGUGCCGGAUAACGUCCGGGCAGCGAGAGCUGACAGCCAGUGCAACAGAGAGCAGACCGCCAUGCCUAUGGCGUGGUAAGGGUGAAAGGGUGCGGUAAGAGCGCACCGCGUCAAUGGCAACAUUUGAUGGCAAGGUAAACCUCACGCGGAGCAAGACCAAAUAGGAAUGCAACAAGCUAGCUUUGCUACGCUUGACGCUGUGACCCACAGUGCAUUCGGGUAGGUCGCUAGAGUGUAUUGGCAACAAUACACCCAGAUAAAUGGCUAUCAACUACAGAAUCCGGCUUAUAGACCGACUCAUUUU